rnacentral:tRNA from 1 species
AUAUAUCUAGUUUUUUAAGAAAAAAAUUAAAUUUUAAAUUUAAAAUUUAAUUUUAAUAUUUAUUUUAUUUAAAUA